CCCGUUGCUCCAGAAAUGUCGUGUGGCUGAUAGAUUAGGGCAAGAUGCUGCUCCCCAUAUUCAAGAUUUGCCUCAUGAUAAGGAUAUUUUUGGGGAAGAAGCUUCACUUAAGAAGUGAGAGUGCAGGGGUUCCCUCAGACAGAAAACCCCAUCUCAGAGAUACCAAACCAAAAUCACGGUGAAAGAAACAGCAGAUUGUGGGCAAGGGUAUUGGCAAAGAGAAAAGAAAAUAAGGAAGAGAGUAAAACAAAAAAUUUGUAAAAGCAUUCUGAUAUGGAUUGGGAGUGUGCUUCUGAGUGUGAUCCUCUUCGUGCCAUGGCCUUGGGUAAAAGGCCUGCCCUUUAGAAUCACUUUUGCAACACAAAGAGAAGAACUGCAUUGCCAUCCAGGAAUGGUUGCUGAUGAAUUUUUUUGGAGGGUAAAUGCUGACCCGCUCUCAGUGGAUAAUGAAAAACAACAUGUUUUUGUUUCAUUUAAGGAAAGGACCCAGUAGCAGGGAUUUCUUUACUCUUGAGAGGAUUUUGAGACUCUAUUCUUUUUUGAGGGAAUGUGGAAGAGAUAUGAGAAUUAAUCCUGCUUUUUCCACUGAUAGGAAAAUCAGUUAUUCAUCCUCUUAACAGCUUCUCUCCACAUGUGGCAAAGUAAUCAGCUCAGUGGUGCAGGCAAGUGGUCGUGAGCAAUUGCAGCCAAAUUCUGCAAUCCAGAAGUAUCUUCAUAUGAAAGAACUACCAGCUUACAUGGACUUCACUUCAGAGGUCAGCAUGUUUAGGCUUAAUAUAUAGAAGACAGGAGAUAUAUACAUACCAUGAAGCAAGCAAGUAAGAAGAAAGCUGAAAAAAGAUAUUGUAUUUAGUAUUCUCACGAUGAACUAUCAAUUUAAAAAUUCGUGGUCAAAAGACUGGCUUUUGUCCCAUGACCUUUGAUGCAUGCACACAUACA